UCUACAGGCUUAACACAUGCAAGUCGAGGGGCAGCAUGGUCUUAGCUUGCUAAGGCCGAUGGCGACCGGCGCACGGGUGAGAAACACGUAUCCAACCUGCCGUCUACUCUUGGACAGCCUUCUGAAAGGAAGAUUAAUACAAGAUGGCAUCAUGAGUCCUCAUGUUCACAUGAUUAAAGGUAUUCCGGUAGACGGUGGGGAUGCGUUCCAUUAGAUAGUAGGCGGGGUAACGGCCCACCUAGUCUUCGAUGGAUAGGGGUUCUGAGAGGAAGGUCCCCCACAUUGGAACUGAGACACGGUCCAAACUCCUACGGGAGGCAGCAGUGAGGAAUAUUGGUCAAUGGGCGAGAGCCUGAACCAGCCAAGUAGCGUGAAGGAUGACUGCCCUAUGGGUUGUAAACUUCUUUUAUAAAGGAAUAAAGUCGGGUAUGGAUACCCGUUUGCAUGUACUUUAUGAAUAAGGAUCGGCUAACUCCGUGCCAGCAGCCGCGGUAAUACGGAGGAUCCGAGCGUUAUCCGGAUUUAUUGGGUUUAAAGGGAGCGUAGAUGGAUGUUUAAGUCAGUUGUGAAAGUUUGCGGCUCAACCGUAAAAUUGCAGUUGAUACUGGAUAUCUUGAGUGCAGUUGAGGCAGGCGGAAUUCGUGGUGUAGCGGUGAAAUGCUUAGAUAUCACGAAGAACUCCGAUUGCGAAGGCAGCCUGCUAAGCUGCAACUGACAUUGAGGCUCGAAAGUGUGGGUAUCAAACAGGAUUAGAUACCCUGGUAGUCCACACGGUAAACGAUGAAUACUCGCUGUUUGCGAUAUACUGCAAGCGGCCAAGCGAAAGCGUUAAGUAUUCCACCUGGGGAGUACGCCGGCAACGGUGAAACUCAAAGGAAUUGACGGGGGCCCGCACAAGCGGAGGAACAUGUGGUUUAAUUCGAUGAUACGCGAGGAACCUUACCCGGGCUUAAAUUGCAGAUGAAUUACGGUGAAAGCCGUAAGCCGCAAGGCAUCUGUGAAGGUGCUGCAUGGUUGUCGUCAGCUCGUGCCGUGAGGUGUCGGCUUAAGUGCCAUAACGAGCGCAACCCUUGUUGUCAGUUACUAACAGGUUCCGCUGAGGACUCUGACAAGACUGCCAUCGUAAGAUGUGAGGAAGGUGGGGAUGACGUCAAAUCAGCACGGCCCUUACGUCCGGGGCUACACACGUGUUACAAUGGGGGGUACAGAGGGCCGCUACCACGCGAGUGGAUGCCAAUCCCCAAAACCUCUCUCAGUUCGGACUGGAGUCUGCAACCCGACUCCACGAAGCUGGAUUCGCUAGUAAUCGCGCAUCAGCCACGGCGCGGUGAAUACGUUCCCGGGCCUUGUACACACCGCCCGUCAAGCCAUGGGAGCCGGGGGUACCUGAAGUGCGUAACCGCGAGGAGCGCCCUAGGGUAAAACUGGUGACUGG
rnacentral:rRNA from 1 species